UACAGAGGGGGCAAGCGUUGUUCGGAAUUACUGGGCGUAAAGGGCGCGUAGGCGGCCUUCUAAGUCGAACGUGAAAUCCCCGGGCUCAACCCGGGAACUGCGUCCGAUACUGGAAGGCUUGAAUCCGGGAGAGGGAUGCGGAAUUCCAGGUGUAGCGGUGAAAUGCGUAGAUAUCUGGAGGAACACCGGUGGCGAAGGCGGCAUCCUGGACCGGUAUUGACGCUGAGGCGCGAAAGCCCAGGGGAGCAAAGCGGG
rnacentral:rRNA from 1 species